UACGUAGGGUGCAAGCGUUAAUCGGAAUUACUGGGCGUAAAGCGUGCGCAGGCGGUUAUGCAAGACAGAUGGUAAAUCCCCGGGCUCAACCUGGGAACUGCAUUUGUGACUGCAUGGCUAGAGUACGGUAGAGGGGGAUGGAAUUCCGCGUGUAGCAGUGAAAUGCGUAGAUAUGCGGAGGAACACCGAUGGCGAAGGCAAUCCCCUGGACCUGUACUGACGCUCAUGCACGAAAGCGUGGGGAGCAAACAGG
rnacentral:rRNA from 1 species